rnacentral:rRNA from 1 species
UACGUAGGGUGCGAGCGUUGUCCGGAAUUAUUGGGCGUAAAGAGCUCGUAGGCGGCCUGUCGCGUCGGAUGUGAAAGCCCGGGGCUUAACCCCGGGGUCUGCAUUCGAUACGGGCAGGCUAGAGUGUGGUAGGGGAGAUCGGAAUUCCUGGUGUAGCGGUGAAAUGCGCAGAUAUCAGGAGGAACACCGGUGGCGAAGGCGGAUCUCUGGGCCAUUACUGACGCUGAGGAGCGAAAGCGUGGGGAGCGAACAGG